ACGAACGCUGGCGGCAUGCCUAACACAUGCAAGUCGAACGAGACCUUCGGGUCUAGUGGCGCACGGGUGCGUAACGCGUGGGAACCUGCCCUUAGGUUCGGAAUAACUCCCCGAAAGGGGUGCUAAUACCGGAUAAUGUCUUCGGACCAAAGAUUUAUCGCCUUUGGAUGGGCCCGCGUUGGAUUAGCUAGUUGGUAGGGUAAAAGCCUACCAAGGCGACGAUCCAUAGCUGGUCUGAGAGGAUGAUCAGCCACACUGGGACUGAGACACGGCCCAGACUCCUACGGGAGGCAGCAGUGGGGAAUAUUGGACAAUGGGCGAAAGCCUGAUCCAGCAAUGCCGCGUGAGUGAUGAAGGCCUUAGGGUUAUAAAGCUCUUUUACCCGGGAUGAUAAUGACAGUACCGGGAGAAUAAGCUCCGGCUAACUCCGUG
rnacentral:rRNA from 1 species